rnacentral:rRNA from 1 species
CAGGACGACGCUGGCGGCGCGCCUAACACAUGCAAGUCGAACGGACUUAGAGAGCUUGCUCUUAAGUUAGUGGCGGACGGGUGAGUAACACGUGAGCAACCUGCCUUUCAGAGGGGGACAACAGUUGGAAACGACUGCUAAUACCGCAUAAGACCACGGGAUGGCAUCAUUCUGCGGUCAAAGAUUUAUCGCUGAAAGAUGGGCUCGCGUCCGAUUAGAUAGUUGGUGAGGUAACGGCCCACCAAGUCGACGAUCGGUAGCCGGACUGAGAGGUUGAACGGCCACAUUGGGACUGAGACACGGCCCAGACUCCUACGGGAGGCAGCAGUGGGGGAUAUUGGACAAUGGGGGGCCAACCCUGAUCCAGCGACGCCGCGUGAGGGAAGAAGGUUUUCGGAUUGUAAACCUCUGUUGACAGGGAAGAAAAUGACGGUACCUGUUUAGAAAGCCACGGCUAACUACGUGCCAGCCGCCGC